UACGAAGGGGGCUAGCGUUGUUCGGAAUCACUGGGCGUAAAGCGCACGUAGGCGGAUCUUUAAGUCAGGGGUGAAAUCCCGAGGCUCAACCUCGGAACUGCCUUUGAUACUGGGGAUCUCGAGUCCGGGAGAGGUGAGUGGAACUGCGAGUGUAGAGGUGAAAUUCGUAGAUAUUCGCAAGAACACCAGUGGCGAAGGCGGCUCACUGGCCCGGAACUGACGCUGAGGUGCGAAAGCUUGGGGAGCAAACAGG
rnacentral:rRNA from 1 species